GGUGCCAAAUGCUCUAGGUACGCCCCUGGUCAGCCUCAAGCCUUUAACAGAGAAAAUUGUACAAGAUGCACACACUGAAGGGGAGUAGCACCUAGGAAGUGCUCCAGAAGGGGGAGGCACUCGAAAAUUGAAAAAAAGCCCAGGCACACCCAGAGGUUUCCUCAGAAAGACAGACUUUAUUCAGUCAGCGUUACGGCUCUCACAUGAGCCUUUGUCAGUGGCUGCGCUGUGUGCAGGCUAUUUCAGCUGCCUGUUUUCAGUAUUCUCUUGCGCCCUGUUUUUUGCUCUUCAUAAGUUUAAAGGGUAAUCCAGAAGUGGACCUAUUGCUCACGGUGCCUUAAGAGAUAUCAGCUAUACCUCACUGAUGAUGCCUAACAGACUGAAACAAUUGUCUGGGGUUGCUGUGUCUCUCGUGCAGAGGGAAC